UAGCUAACAUGUACUGUAGUCCAACACUUUGAAUGCAUCCUGAAAUCCUGCUUCGCAUGGAUAGACAACAAAUGGAAUUUCCCAUACACUCCAAAAAUUGGUGUCAAAACUAACAUUAGACAGUUUAACCCAAUGGUCAUUUUCAAUUUGUGUAACACAGCUUAAACCAAGACAAUCAAUGUUGUCUUUGAUGUGAGGAAAAUGUUUGUCUUUAAAGAAAACAAGUUACAAAUUGUUAUGGUGCUUUUUUACAGUUAGAUUAAUAAAUGUUUUCACUU